GACGAACGCUGGCGGCGUGCUUAAUACAUGCAAGUCGAACGGACAGGCCCGGCUUUUGCUGGUCUCUCGUUUGGCGCACGCGUGAGUAACACACGAGUAACCUGCCCCUGUCUUUCUGAUAACUUCAGGGGACUGCGGCGAAUAUAGGAUAUAAUCUCCUGCUCCAUAGUGUUGGUUGGUAAGAUUCGGCGUUGCUGGCUGGACUCGGGGCGUAUCAGCUUGUUGGUAAGGUAGUGGCUUACCAAGGCUUUGAUGGAUAGCCGACCUGAGAGACUGAUCGGCCACACUGGAACUGAGACACGGACCAGAGUCCUACGGGAGGCAGCAGUAGGGAAUCUUCCGCAAUGGGCGAAAGCCUGACGGAGCAACGCCGCGUGAGUGAUGAAGGUCUUCGGAUCGUAAUACUCUGUUAUUAGGGAAGAACAUAUGUGUAAGUAACUGUGCAGAGCGUGACGGUAAUUAAUCAGAAAGCCACGGCUAACUACGUG
rnacentral:rRNA from 1 species